UUGCGACAUAAAUUUUGUAACACCUUUUAGGGAAUAAUGCAGUUUAGCUGCAUGUAAAGGUGCAAAAAACUUAAACAAACGGACAGACAGCAGUAACACACAUACAUAUUAAAAGUAUCACGUGAACACUUCGUGAAUCCACUUACGAUGAUUAAUUUCUUGACUGGUUUCCCCAACGUAGGGUAGUCACAUGAUCAUCAGGUCAUAGCUGCUUGUAAAGGUGCAAACCAAUUGAACAA